CCAGAUCCCAAAGCCCCUUUUCCCUUCUCCUGGUGGCCACUGGGUGUCUGUCCCCGGCCACGCUCUCUCUCUGCAGAGUGUACUUUUUUACCUUCAUUCUCAUAGUGGUCAUGAGCUAGACAGUUAAACCCAGCACAGUAUCUGCCACUAACCUGGCCAUGGAACGGACCACUUUAGGCUCUGCCAGGUACAAGAAAACUUCCAGCCACUGUGCAGGUUCCCUGCGUGCAAGCUAGAGGCCCCGUGACGCCCCGUGACUCACCAUGGGAAACACCUGUAGAUCCCAGCAACCUCAUCUUUAGGUUUAAAAAUGGAAACGGUUUGACCUCGGUGAUCUGAGAAAAAACAGCUUACCUUCUACUGCACCACUGUUUGGCUCCUCUAUUGACUAGGAAGUGGACGGAUGGGUACAGGAUGGCAGUCUGAACUACAGUGCUCUUUUGCAUUGGAUCUUUCCUGCAAAAGGCAAGGAAAGUGGACGGAAGUCCCUCUGUCCAGGCUUUCACUGCUCUUUAUCCGAAACCAUUCCUCUGCAAAGGCCCAGGAGAUGCGGUGCUUCGAGAGACC
rnacentral:lncRNA from 1 species